AAACAAGCAAGGAGCCGCGAGGGAUGGAGACGUGGAGCCCAGGAGAAUAAACUGAUUCUGUUUGGACUCUGAAGGCUGAAGAAGUACAAAAAAAGUCCAUCACAUGCUGCCCAGUCGGGAAAUUUUGUCAUCUUCAUUGCAGUUUAAAGAUAUUUUGAAAAUAUUCUACUCCUGGAUUGCUUUGAAGGGUGGGUUCAGCGAAGAAGCUUCUUCAGUUUUUCUGAUGGGGUUUUGAGCGCUAAGGAUACUACAUGAUCAAGUCCAAAUGCUGUGAGAGUCCAUUAUGGCCGACUGCUGAGAACCUGAGGUUAAGUGGUACCAGCAGAGAGAGGAAGGAGGGAGCCCGACACGCUGACAGCUGGUACGAGUGAUUAGACCGUGCAGUGAUGCAGGGAAGGCAUCAAAGCUCUUUAGGGAGAAUCCCUUAGUGGGAGGAGACAAUGAUACACACACACACACACACACACACACACACACACACACACAGGAAUGAAAUCCUGAUACACAACUUCCUGGUUGCUAAAACUACUUACAAACUGAGCUUAUCACAUCCAACAGCAUAGGCUGCACUGACCAUCUGUCUUCUGCAGAUGCAUCACCAACCAAUGGAUUAUCAGCAGCUCUGCCCUAGGACACACACCCCUCUUUCACACACAUACUAACCCCCCUCUGACUACGAGAGUCUGGUAAUACAACAGAAUGAGUGGUAUCAUUAGAUUAGAUUGGGUGUGGAAGUUAUGGAAGGAUCUCCUCAUUAAUCACACACGCUAAUGGCAGUUUAAUAGCUGUUGUCUCAAUUGCUUCUUUGUGUUGUACAUCACUGUGCAGCUCCUCUGUUACAAUAAAGGUGUUUUAAUCUCAA